ACCGCUUGAGCCACAUCCCCAGCCCCAUAUCCCACAUUUUUUUAAAUUUGUUUUUGGCAGUACUGGGGAUUGAAACCAAGGCCUCACACCUGGUAGGCAAGGGCUCUACCAUUGAGCUACAUCUGACCUUUUAUUAUUUUAAUUUGAGCUUGGUCUCGCUAGACUGUCCAAGCUGCCCUCACCUCCCAAAUAUCUGGGAUUACAGGCGUGCACCACCACACUCAGUUUGGAUCCACACUCAUAAUUAUUUCCUUGGCAUUAUGAGAAGUGGAAUUGCAGGGUGUGCACAUUUCCAAGGCUUUGCUGUUUUGACACCUGUUCCUCAAAAAGCUGUGCUAAUUUACCCUCUUCCGGCAGAAUAAAAGAGCACUCACUUUCUGACCCUUACGAACACUGGGUAUUUAUUAUCAUUAAAAAAAUGUUUUGCCACUUUGAUAGAAAAAAAUAGUAUAUUGUUUUUAUUUGCAUUUUACUUCUAAUGAAAAUUUUAUACAUUUAUUUGUUACUUGUUUUUCCUGUUUUUAGAAUUGCCAAACAUUGUUGCACUAGUAACCAAAAAUAUUGAGUUGAC
rnacentral:lncRNA from 1 species